GAUGAACGCUGGCGGCGUGCCUAAUACAUGCAAGUCGAGCGAACAGACGAGGAGCUUGCUCCUCUGACGUUAGCGGCGGACGGGUGAGUAACACGUGGAUAACCUACCUAUAAGACUGGGAUAACUUCGGGAAACCGGAGCUAAUACCGGAUAAUAUAUUGAACCGCAUGGUUCAAUAGUGAAAGACGGUUUUGCUGUCACUUAUAGAUGGAUCCGCGCCGGAUUAGCUAGUUGGUAAGGUAACGGCUUACCAAGGCAACGAGGCGUAGCCGACCUGGGAGAGUGAUCGGCCUCAUGAUAUCUGAGACACGGUCCAUAGUCCAGCGGGAGGCAGCAGUAGGGAAUCUUCCGCAAUGAGCAAGAGCCUGACGGAGCAACGCCGAGUGAGUGAUGAUGGUCUUCGGAUCGUAAAACUCUGGUAUUAGGGAAGAACAAAUGUGUAAGUAACUAUGCACGUCUUGACGGUACCUAAUCAGAAAGCCACGACUAGCUACGUG
rnacentral:rRNA from 1 species